UACGUAGGCAGCGAGCGUUGUUCGGAGUUACUGGGCGUAAAGAGUGCGUAGGCGGUUUUCUAAAUUUGGUGUGAAAUCUCCCGGCUUAACUGGGAGGGUGCGCCGAAGACUGGAAGGCUUGAGUAUGGGAGAGGUAAGCGGAAUUCCUGGUGUAGCGGUGAAAUGCGUAGAUAUCAGGAGGAACACCUGCGGUGUAGACGGCUUACUGGACCAUAACUGACGCUGAGGCACGAAAGCGUGGGUAGCAAACAGG
rnacentral:rRNA from 1 species